ACCAGAUCCACCCCACAUCGAACCCUCGUCCACAAGUCCUCCUCCCAGACUAAUGCCGCCGCCGCCGCCGCCGCCCCCAUCUGCCCUCCGCCCUCGACCUCAUCCACCAACCUGUGCAACCCCAUCGGGGUACACGCCCGUCGACUCAAUGUUGCCUUCCUUCGUCACCGCCACCGGGGCGGGUCAACUGCGCCGGUGUGGCGAGGCCGAAGUCAACGUAGUCUCCCUUUCCAGGACCAGAUCCCGCGGCGAAAAUCGAGCCUUCCCCAUGAUACUGUGGGUGCGGCGACGACAAGCGCGAGAUGAAUCAGUGUUCUUGGCACCUCUGCCAUCUCAGGGUCAUCGCGCCACCACCACGCUGGCGCGCUCCACUUCUCCAUGGCCCUCCAAGCCGAUGAGCACGGGUGAGCUCCCUACCACUGCUCCCUCCACCGCGUCGGCAUGAGCGGUGCCUGCUCCUCCCUACGUUGGACAACACGCUGCUCAGAUCUGUCAUGGUGAAAUCUCCUCAUCUUUCCCGUGGCACUCCUGUGCUCAGUGGAGGUGAGGAUGUUAGAUUUUUUGGUGUGAGCUUUUGCCCAACUUCUUGGGUCGAUUUUCUUUUCCUGCUACCAGACCGCCAGCGACCAUGGCCUUUGUACCUUUUCCUGUUCAUGAGCUUGGAGAGCUGAAACUUUGCUAUUUGUGCCUACCUUUGGCCACAAUGUUUCUUAGCAAAUAUUCAUCAUCUUACAUUUUAUAUAUGAUAUUCUAUUUUGCCACUUGAAAACAAUAAGGGACUAGAAUAACUAGAAAAGAAGAAUGAGGCUAGACCCUUUUGAAGGAAUCUGCUGUCCUAACAAGGAACAUGUAAAGAGCACUCCUGGGAAAAAGAAGGAAACAACAAUCUUGCAAAUGAAUAAAGAAACAAAAGCUUGAUAACAAAUUUUUCCAUUAGUAGUAACACCUCUCUUCACACAUAAUCUGAUUUUCAACACUAUUAAUUAGGAUCUACAUGAUUGGAGACACUAAGUCAUCACACUGGUUAACACAAGUAAUUUGUGAGAGGAACACAAGUGAACUUUACUGUACUUAUAUCUGUUCAAUUUUCUCUCAGGAAAUCCUUUUUUAUGAACUGAUGGUGGGGCUCAGCAGCAAAGGCUUUUGUGUGAGGGUGCAUAUCUUCGGAAAAAAGAAUGACAAAAGGCAGGAGAAAGUGACAUGGACAAUAGAUUAGAAGAUGCAACGGCAGUGUGGGUGAUGGAAGAAGAAGAACAGAGUGUUAGAAGAUAUAAUGAGAUGAUAAGGUCUUGAAAUGUUCAUUAUCUCGUGGAAAUUAUUAAUGCCUAUGUAGCUUGAGUUUCCGACUUGUUGCACAUUUCCCAAAGAUACACAAGUUGAUCGAGGUUUGGAAGAUCUACAAGUUGGAGCUGGAGGUUUGGAAGACCUACAAUUAAGUUGCUGUUGUUAUAAUGUAAUAUGACUUGUUUGUUGAACCUGGAGAUGGUGGCAAGUAUUACUGUACUCAUUUAGGUGAUUGUUUUGGCACAUAAGCCACUGUAUGAUCAUUUUGGUUGUGGCACAUUUAGAAACAUAAGUUAUUUUCCUUUUGUGGCACAACAUCCUUAUAUGGUUGAUUCAUAUGUAUAUGUAUCUAAACAUAAGUAUUCGGUAUGUAUGUUUAUCAAACGAAGUUUAAAAUUUUGGA